rnacentral:rRNA from 1 species
AUUGAACGCUGGCGGCAGGCCUAACACAUGCAAGUCGAGCGAUUCUCUUCGGAGAAGAGCGGCGGACGGGUGAGUAACGCGUGGGUAACCUGCCCUGUACACACGGAUAACAUACCGAAAGGUAUGCUAAUACGAGAUAAUAUGCUUUUAUCGCAUGGUAGAAGUAUCAAAGCUCCGGCGGUACAGGAUGGACCCGCGUCUGAUUAGCUAGUUGGUAAGGUAACGGCUUACCAAGGCGACGAUCAGUAGCCGACCUGAGAGGGUGAUCGGCCACAUUGGAACUGAGACACGGUCCAAACUCCUACGGGAGGCAGCAGUGGGGAAUAUUGCACAAUGGGCGAAAGCCUGAUGCAGCAACGCCGCGUGAGCGAUGAAGGCCUUCGGGUCGUAAAGCUCUGUCCUCAAGGAAGAUAAUGACGGUACUUGAGGAGGAAGCCCCGGCUAACUACGUGCCAGCCGCCGCAGUAACAC